rnacentral:misc_RNA from 1 species
GAUGAAGAACGCAGCGAAAUGCGAUAAGUAAUGUGAAUUGCAGAAUUCAGUGAAUCAUCGAAUCUUUGAACGCACAUUGCGCCCGGCAGUAAUCUGCCGGGCAUGCCUGUCCGAGCGUCAUUUCACCCCUCGAGCCGCUUUUAGUGGAUCGGUGUUGGGGCACUACGGUAAAACGUAGGCCCUGAAAUGAAGUGGCGGUCCCGCCGCGGUGCCCCCAUGCGUAGUAACGUUUAGUCUCGCAUCGGGUCCAGGCGGAGGCCUGCCGUCAAGCCUAUUUAUUCUCAGAAUAGUUUGACCUCGGAUCAGGUAGGGUUACCCGCUGAACUUAAGCAUAUCAUAAGCGGAGGA